rnacentral:sRNA from 1 species
CCCUAGCCCCGAUUGAAGUGAAAAUCCUUUUUUAUCGUUUUUUAACGAUAAAAAAGAUUGCAACGUAAAGCGGGAAAUAGC